AUAAAAUUUGUAUUAACAAUAUUAAAAAACAGUGAUUUUGUCACCCGUUACAUCUCAUUCGAUGUAUCUUCUUUUUCUGAAAAAGUUACCUGUGGACGUCAAUUUUCUAAAUAAACAAGUUUUUAAGUUAUGAGCAAAAAACUAAGUUUGACGUUUUGAUUGUUUAUUUAAAAAAUGUUCCACUAAAAAAUUGAAUGAAAAUGAAUCCCAAGAUGGUAGUCUUUUUGUAAUAUCUCAUACUACACAUUUCAACUAUCAAACCUCGUCUUAUCCGUUAUGUCUAGUAAAAACCUAACUUGAUUGGCCUAUUAUCUAUAAUUAAAACGCACUACCCAUUUCGGCAUUAAUGAACGUUUAUUAUACUAGGCAUGCCCCGCUCACUCUAAUAUAAAACAUGUAAUCGUAUUUAUUUUCCUUCCAUUUAGUCAGAGGCGCUGAUGUCGGCCUUGUGAUUGGUGGAACAUGACUUUUGACAAAUCCUGCGCUAUCUGUGAAUCUGUAAUCUGUGUUCGUGUUCGUUCAUUCGUUGUCGUUCACUUAUUUUAUAUGGUCGGUUAUGUGAUGUGUUUGUGCCCAAGUAGCAAUUUGUCGACGCGACAACGUUGUCUACCGCGUGGCAACGUUUUGUUACAACGUUGUUAUUGCCUAGAAGACGACCCUAUUCUGCACUAAUUUGGUGGACGAUUUUUGAGUUGUCUUGACGUUGCCUAGGCAACCUCCUAUGAAGCAACAUCGUUUCGUAAGCGUUGCAUAAGACAACUGAAGCGACUAUAAAAAGAACCUGCGCGUGUAAUGGUUGCUCAAGGAGUCAGACUAGUUAUGUUUUUUUACCUAUAUUUUUAACACCUGUAUGGUGAAUGCGAAAACCAAAAUGGUAACUAUUUUGACAUCGUAUUAGGUAUUUAAAUUUAUAUAAAUACAUAAAGGACUUAAACAAAAUUACCUGAUCUGAAAAUUUAUAAACGCAUCUCAGAUUACCGUCAAAUAUGGAUAUUUCACCUUUAAAAAACACACGCGCUACUUUUUUACGACAUUUUUGACAAAAAAUAUGCAAAUUUAAAAAAAUCAAAUUUUAAUAUAAAAGUUAAAAUUUAUGUUAAAGAUGUUCUGUAUAAAUUUAAUGUAUUGAUGGUACUUUUAAAGGUAUCAGAAAAAGGUAUCAUUUUUUAUAUUCUGUAUUUUCAUUUUCUUUACAUCCCAAAAAUCUCAAGUAAAACCAAAAUGGUGCAUUAAACAAUAUUACCUUAUUACUAAAAAAAUACCUUAUUACCAACCCUAGACCGAUAAGACAACUUAGAAGUCCAAUCGCCAACCAAGCCCGGCCGCGCUGACUAUCCCAACCAUUUUAGAACGCACCCUCUUAUUGGGUGACAGAGAGGUCAUGUGACCAGUGUCAAAAGUGUAGCAUUCUCCUUAACAGCGUUGCCACAUUUUGGAGAUUUCUACUUUUUUGGUAGAUUUUUGAUAUUUUUUAAAAUAUUCUAGUAGGUAAUAUUGUUUAGUAGAUUUUUGUUAUAUUUCAACAUUUUGUUAUGACUAAAAUAAAAUUUGCUUUUUAAUAGUAUUUACCCCAUUUCUAAAUUAAUUUUCACACAUUUGGUUACAAUUUCCCAAUCCGAAAAUAAGACCGAAAAUAAGAUUCAGAAUAAUUAGGUCAUUACCGAAAAUAAGAUUCAGGACGUAGAUGAUGAAUAUUACAGAGAAAUGAAACUGGAAACUGGAUUCUUGUGUAACAAACUUGCAGAUUUCAAGUAACAGUGCAAGCAGUAUUUCAGGUGUUAUUGAAGAGUUCUGGCAUUCGGUGAGCCUAUUAGAAGCUAACGAUGGAAAACUAAAAUAUCUAAACAUAUGUAACUUUGCAAAACACAAAAUGUUGUGUUCACGUGUUUCUAAUGUUAAAUGCGAAACAAUUGUUUGAAGAAUUUGAUCCAGACAUGCAGCUGUUAAAAUUAGUGGAUGACAAAAUAUUCUAGUUGUUAAAUGUACCUAUUCAUUUUUUUCGAAUCAUGAGGAAACUAUAAUAAGUAUUUUUGAAAAAUUUAAACGCAAAAUGAAAGACUGCAUUAUUUAGAAAAACCAAAACGUUUCUUUUGAAUGAGAUAUUUGGAAUUAAAAUGACACUACAUUUUGUCUUUUUUUCACCCCUGUAACUUAUUAAAAUAAACAUUAUAGAAGUUUUCAGGGACUUUCGGUCCUCGGUAAUAACGUAAUCUUUCUUUCUGCGUUUAAAUUUUUCGAAAUACUUAUUAGUUUUCUCAGGAUUCUCAAAAAAUGAAAACAUUUAAAAUACAUUGAACAUUUUAACGGGCGACAUUUUGCGCCUAUCCCCUUAAGUUAGCUGUUGUUUUUAUUAUCAAAAAUCCCAAAUAUAUCCCAAAAAUCCUUAAGUAUAUUUUAGUUUUUGAUUUAGUAGAUUUUAGCUAAAAAAUGGUAAUUACCAGUUGUUGUUUUGGAAUAAUUAGGUUUCCAAUUUUUUGGAAUUCCUCUUGGGACAGUUAAGACGGAUAUGCAGAUUACUGUAUAAGUAUACUGUAUUUACAUGGCCUAAAAAGAAUCUACUGAUUUUGUGAAAGCAAAACUACUGAAAGAGUAAAAACUGACCUGGCAACCCCGUCUAGCAGGCAACCCCGUCUAGCAAAGCUGAUACAAAAGGUUUGUUCCAACAUGAACUUUUGGACGGUCCAGAAACCGUCACGAAACUACUUGUACCGUUUGUUGUGCGCAUGUUCGUAAUUGUAUCGCCCAGUUAUCGUCCCAUGACGGUAAUCAUAUAUUUGUCAUUUUUGUUGGUGACAGCUUGUGUGCUUUUAGUCGAUCAAAGUCUCAAAAACUUUAAAGAAUUAAAUCCUAGUGCGCAAGUCAGUCCAACCAGCACAUUAUGCAUUUGCCCGAUUACUGAAAUGAUCAUCACGAAACCGUCACCGAAAGAUCACAAUUCUUGUUGGAACAGUGGGAAGGACGAUCCGAUGACGAUCAUAUUUUUGUUGGGACGGAUUUUGUUUACUGCGCGGAAGCGUUACCGUUUCGUGACGGUUCUCGGUCGUGUUGGAACAAACCUUAUGAUUGAAAGAUUAAGGUUAUCAAAUCUACUGAUAAAACAGUGGACAAUGGAAUGGAAACCAGCUAUUAAAAAAAUAAACAAACAGGUUGUUAAAUAAAUCGAAAAUUUCCAGCAAAAUAAAACAUAUAAUAAUAAGAAAAAAAUAAGGUUAUAAAGUAAAUUCUUUUUCUCCUUCUGAAGUUGCCGCAAAGGUGUCACACACCUAGAACAACACCUAGGGUCGUGACAGACAACUUCAGAGUCGGCCAGGGCGUAAAUUAGUUUAGCAUUAUAACGUUUUUAAGUCGUUGCGAUUGUUGAAAAAACUGAACUGUGAUAUGUAGUUGUCACAAUGGUAAUAAAUUAGUUGCCCGUGUAACUAAAGGUAUUACUUAAAGUUGUAACAUCGCAAUGUCAGUCGGGAUAGGGGACGUUGGCCGAAACAACUUAAAAUGCUCUCGGGCAACGUUAUAUACAGUGCAUUUGUUUGUACUGACAACCAAUGCGUCGAAAAAUUGCUACUUGGGUGUCACCAUAAAAAUCUGAUAUUCAGUCGUGUUUUUUACCUAGUACCUUUUUAAAGGUCUAAUGGCUCCGUUCAGCUGUUGUGUGCAGACGGUGGAAAAAUUCGACAAGUAAACAUUUAUUUAAUCCAAAUUACUCAUAUUUCUAUGUAAAAUGUCAUAUUAUUGUUUAAAUAAAUAAGUAAGAAACAAAA
rnacentral:lncRNA from 1 species